rnacentral:rRNA from 1 species
AUUGAACGCUGGCGGCAGGCCUAACACAUGCAAGUCGAGCGAGCGGCGGACGGGUGAGUAAUGUAUGGGGACUCCGCGCUAGGGGGGGAUAACACUUGGAAAAGGGAGCGAAUAUCCCGUACUACCGGAUAACCCACAUGGGAUUAGCUAGUAGGUGGGGUAAUGGCUCACCUAGGCGACGAUCCCUAGCUGGUCUGAGAGGAUGAUCAGCCACACUGGAACUGAGACACGGCCCAGACUCCUACGGAGGCAGCAGUGGGGAAUAUUGCACAAUGGGCGCAAGCCUGAUGCAGCCAUGCCGCGUGUAUGAAGAAGGCCCUAGGGUUGUAAAGUACUUUCAGUCGGGAGGCGUUACCGGCAGAAGAAGCACCGGCUAACUCCGUGCCAGCAGCCGCGGUAAUUC